UUUGUGCAGCGACCGGCGCAUGCGCGUU
rnacentral:sRNA from 1 species